UACAGAGGUCCCAAGCGUUGUUCGGAUUCACUGGGCGUAAAGGGUGCGUAGGCGGUCGGGUAAGUCUGAUGUGAAAUCUCACAGCUUAACUGUGAAACUGCAUUGGAUACUAUCCGGCUAGAGGAAUGGAGGGGAGACUGGAAUUCUCGGUGUAGCAGUGAAAUGCGUAGAUAUCGUAAGGAAGACCAGUGGCGAAGGCGGGUCUCUGGACAGUUCCUGACGCUGAGGCACGAAGGUCAGGGGAGCAAACGGG
rnacentral:rRNA from 1 species